AUUUGCUUCUUCUUCUUCCUCUUCCUCUUCU
rnacentral:sRNA from 1 species